rnacentral:lncRNA from 1 species
GAGCGCAAGAGGCAAGCCAGGGAACGGGGAGCGCAAGCUGGUGCGCCGGCCAGCGGAGCCACAGUGCCAGGUGCCAAAGACUGGCUGACGCCCUGGGACACCCCCACCCUCUCCUGCUGCACCUCCUCGGUCUCCUCCACCCUCUGUGCCUACAGAAGUCCCUGGGCUUCCCCCAAAGGAGCUCACCUCCAGAAGCCCGGACCUGGGAGAGCCCACCAGCAUACCCUCCAGCGCCGCCGCCGCCGCUACCGCAGCAGCAUCCGGAGCGGCAUGGUCCAGCUGGGGAAGCUGCUCCGCGUCCUGACUUUGAUGAAGUUCCCCUGCUGCGUGCUGGAGGUGCUCCUGUGCGUGCUGGCGGCGGCGGCGCGCGGCCAGGAGAUGUACGCCCCGCACUCGAUCCGGAUCGAGGGGGACGUCACCCUUGGGGGGUUGUUCCCAGUGCACGCCAAGGGUCCCAGCGGAGUGCCCUGCGGCGACAUCAAGAGGGAGAAUGGGAUCCACAGGCUGGAAGCUAUGCUUU